CGAUGUUCUCAGGGCGGGGUGAAAGUCCCCACCGGCGGUAAGGGCGAUGAGCCCAAGCCCGCGAGCGCCUUCGUUCCGCGAAGCGGGAGGAAGGGUCAGCAGAUUCGGUGCAAUUCCGAAGCCGACGGUCACAGUCCGGAUGAAAGAGAACGGUU
rnacentral:ncRNA from 1 species